rnacentral:rRNA from 1 species
GAGGGAAAGUUGAAAAGAACUUUGAAGAGAGAGUUCAAAAGGGCGUGAAACCGCUUAGAAUAAAACGGACGGAGCCGUCUGUGGCCCUUUGGAAUCAGUCGAGUCGAAGCGUGAAGGCGAGUACGGCGCAAAAUGGAACGAAAGUCCCGUCGUCUCGUAGUAGUGCUCGUUCGAUGCAUUUCCGAAGGGUAAGCGCCGCGACCGAUGCUAAAGGCUAGCGAAACUGUGAGAUUGAGGUCGAGUCACCUUGUGUCACUCGUUACCAGUCACUCAGACGUCGUUAGACCAAUCGCAUCGAGGUAUAAUCUGUACUGGAUGCUGGCGAAUAAACGCGCUCACCUAUUACGAUGGACGUAGAGCCGAUCGGCUGUCGCCUGCUCGCAGGUUACAGUUUGUAUCCGGUUUCUAUCCGAAGUCGUUGGUGACGUUUCAGCAUUCUGGUGUCUGCGGCGUCCGAGUCGGUCACCCGUCCGACCCGUCUUGAAACACGGACCAAGGAGUCUAACGUAUACGCGAGCUAAUGGGUGGAAAACCCAUAAGCGUAAUAAAAGUAAAAGCCGUUUCGGACGGCCCAGGUACGAUCCCUGGUAUGAAAUAUUACUAGGGCGCAGUACCAUCCCGUCCCGACCGCUUGUCGGUAGGGCGGAGAUAGAGUGCAUACGUUGGGACCCGAAAGAUGGUGAACUAUGCCUGAGCAGAGCGAAGCCAGAGGAAACUCUGGUGGAGGUUCGUAGCGGUUCUGACGUGCAAAUCGAUCGUCAGACUUGGGUAUAG